rnacentral:rRNA from 1 species
UACGGGGGGGGCAAGCGUUGUUCGGAAUUACUGGGCGUAAAGCGCUCGCAGGUGGUUCGAUGCGUCGUGCGUGAAAGCUCCCGGCGUCAACUGGGAGAGGUCCUUGCAUACUGGCGAACUCGAGGGAGGCAGAGGAAAGUGGAAUUCCCGGUGUAGUGGUGAUAUGCGUAGAUAUCGGGAGGAACACCUGUGGCGAAGGCGGCUUUCUGGGCCUUACCUGACGCUGAGACGCGAAAGCGUGGGGGAGCAAACAGG